rnacentral:lncRNA from 1 species
CGCUUAUAAAUUUAACAAUAAUUCUAAUUAUAUCAGUCUCAACACACGUAUAUAAAAAUUUAAAUCUUGCUUCAUUAGUCAUAUUUAAAAAAGAGGGAACUAUUUCACUAAUUUUGGAAAACAGUUGGUCUCUAAUUAUAUUUAGUUUUGUACAUUUUAAAGUGAAAUGAAAUUCAUCUUCAACUUCUAAGAAGCACAAAGGACAAAUUCUUUCUUCUACAGGGGUUUUAGUGUGACGCCCUUGUUCAAUUCUAAGAACACUGUUACUAAUACGAAUUUUAGCAAAAUGCCCUAUUACUUUUCUGUCUAUAUUUAACAAUAAAUAGUUUUCCAAUUUAUAAUUUUCUUUAAGCUGUCUAUAUGUUCUCAGCUUAUUACCAUGUACUGAUUUAUUAUCACAAAAUAUAUUUUCUUUCCAAUAAUUAAGAUAUCUAUCAUUAAGUUUGGUAUGAAUUGCAUAUAAUAAACGUCUUUUUGAAAUAGUAUCAUGAUUUUUCCAAACAUGUGAAAAAUUUAAUGUAGCAAGUAACUGUUCAAUCUUUUUAGCAAAUCCAUUGGUUAAUUGCAGGUUGGAACAAUAUACAUCUUUUAGUAAACAAUUGUUAUCAGAUUUGAUCACAUGCAACCAGAAGCCAAUUGACAGUUUUAAAGCUUCUAUAAAAACUGGAUACAUACCAAGUUCAGCUAGUACUGCUAAAUUGACAGCUGAUUUAUUUACUCCAAUUAAAGUUUUUGCAAAUUUAAUUUGGACUUUGAUGGUAGCCAAUGACCAAUAUUUUGACUCUAGAUUUGUAAUAUCUUUUAUCAUAUACAGAGACCAAACUUCACUACAGUAAAGAAGUAUAGGUUUAACACAAGCAUCAAAAAGCUUUAAGUGAGGUAAUACAUUGAUAUCUUCAGAAAAUAACAGUUUUCUAAUACAAAAUAUAGCUUUUGAGGCUUUUUUACAAAGAAGUCUCACUGCUUCUGUAAAACUACCAGAUGGUUUAAACAGUAUACCCAAAUAUUUAUAUUCUGUACAGUGUUCCAAAAUAUUAUCACUAAAAACAAACUUGUCUUUUGUAAGUUUUUUACCUGAUUUGUUAAAAAUCAUAACUUUGGUUUUGUCAAGAUUUACUGUUAAAUCCCAACUAGUGCAAUAUAAACUAAGCUUGUCAAGGCAUUUUUGUAAGCCAUUAGCCGAUUCAGAAAUAAGGACUAAAUCAUCAGCGUAUAACAGACAUGAUAUAUCAUUAUCAUUUAACUUGGGUGGUUCACAUGUUGAGUCAAAAAUAGAUGGUAAAUCAUUAAUAUAUAAAGAAAAUAAUGUAGGGCUUAAAAUACACCCUUGUUUUACCCCAACUGAGGAAUUAAAAAAAUCAGUGAUACCUUCCGAGAUCUUUACCGAGUACAAAACCUCUUUAUACAUAUCUUUCAUUAUACUAAAAAAAGGGACCAUCUAUGUUGUAAUAAGACAAUUUGUAAAAGAGGGCAUCUCUGUUAAUAGUAUCAAAUGCCUUCCUGAAAUCAAUGAAACAGGCAUAUAUCUUUUUUGAUGAUUUAAAUGCUUUAUCAAUUAUAGUUUUUAGAGUUAAAAUAUGAUCACUUGUUCGACUUCCCUUUCUGAAUCCAAUUUGCUCACGAC